UACGAGGGGGGCGAGCGUUGUUCGGAAUUAUUGGGCGUAAAGGGUGCGUAGGCGGUUCCGCAAGUCCUGUGUGAAAUCUUCGGGCUCAACUCGAAGUCUGCACGGGAAACUGCGGGGCUUGAGUGUGGGAGAGGUGAGUGGAAUUCCCGGUGUAGCGGUGAAAUGCGUAGAUAUCGGGAGGAAUACCUAUGGCGAAAGCAGGUUUCUGGGCCAUCACUGACGCUGAGCUGCGAAAGCUAGGGGAGCAAACAGG
rnacentral:rRNA from 1 species